GGGCGGGUGGCGGAAUGGCAGACGCGUUGGACUUAAAAUCCAAUGAGCUCAAUAGUCGUGAGGGAUCGACUCCCUCCUCGCCCACCA
rnacentral:tRNA from 1 species